CUCAAAUACCUAUUUUGAGCCAAGCAGGAUAAACAUAGAUGUCUGUCGCACUUCUCUAUGAUGUAAUUUCUAGCAAAGUCACUGCUUCAUAAUAUUUAGUCUUCAUUGUCAGGAAUAAGAAAUCUAGAGUAUAUUAUCUUGAUCUGGAAGAAUCAAAUCUAACUGAAAGAUAGAAGAAAAGCAAUGAAGUGGCUACAAAGAACAAGUAGCAAUAAUCUCCAGAAAUUUCAAUAGCAGCAAGAAUGCUCAAGUCUUUUGGGAAUGGGAUACCUUAAGUAAACUGUAGUAAAGAACUAAAUCCAAAGUCAACAGCCAAUAUUCCGAGAAUAUAAGCAAGAGAAGCAAUUAAGGUAAAGCUAACUCUUUAAUCUGUUGAAAGUAACACAUCAGCCUGCAGAGAAAGAAUUGAGGAACCAGAUUUAAAAGGAAAAAUUGCCUACCAUUGAAUGUAAAGCACGGGGAGGGAUUAAAUAGAGAUUUCCUCAAGACGAAUCUGUCCAUUUUCAUGAAUGCAUCAAGAUCAAAAUUAUAGUAGUAAGAAAUCAGCAUUGAAUAAGCACAGAACAAACUAUAAUUGCACAGCCAUAAAGUAAUCUUCUUUAAACAUAAACAUCACUUUAAUAAAUCAAAUUUCCUUUCAUGACACACAUAAUUCAAUACUUGCAAUAAAGUAAGCCUUAAGAUUCACAUGAAAAAUUCAUGCAAACACACAAAAGAUUAAAACUGUGUAGAAUAGAUCACUUUAUUCAUAUAAAUUUGUGUUUUUUCUACAUUUCUCGUUUGCUGCAAUUACAAAAGACAAAUAACAAAAUCAAAAAUUCAAAGGGGGAAAAUCCCCCCUAAAUACACAAAGUUUCAGUUUUUUCUAUAUGUUUUCACUAUAAUUAUCCAAUUCUCGCGAAAGAUAACAUUUUUACGAAUUGGAUUCAGUAAAAAUGGGUGCAACAGCAGUGAGCUUCUUUCUCUGAAUAAACCGAGGCUGGCGAAAUCGGAUCGAUGAAUUGAAGCAGGGAAUGACAUCCAUGGUUUGUAAGGGGUCGGAUGACGCGGUAAUUAAGGGAAUUUGUUGACUAUAAAUAGCAAACAGGGACUGAACAGUUUUCAACCUUGAUUUAGCAGAGAUUUUGGAGUACCUGAUUUGGGCAAGUGCACCUGGUUUCAAGAAUGUGUGAAAUGAUGGUGGUGAUGUUGUAGAUCUGGAAGUUCUGGUUCUCGUUGAGGGUUUCAUUGUCGGGGGUGGAGAAAUUAGGAUUUUUUUCGGGAUUUUGGUGGAAACCCUAGGAGGAGGAGAGUGAGGUUGUUGAGAUUGGGAUAUGAAAGAGGGAGGAUAUGAGGGUUUAAAAUACGGAGAUGUGAAGGCGGGAA
rnacentral:lncRNA from 1 species